AGCUAGUUGGUGAGGUAACGGCCCACCAAGGCGACGAUCGGUAGCCGGACUGAGAGGUUGAACGGCCACAUUGGGACUGAGACACGGCCCAGACUCCUACGGGAGGCAGCAGUGGGGAAUAUUGCACAAUGGGGGAAACCCUGAUGCAGCGACGCCGCGUGGAGGAAGAAGGUCUUCGGAUUGUAAACUCCUGUUGUUGAGGAAGAUAAUGACGGUACUCAACAAGGAAGUGACGGCUAACUACGUGCCAGCAGCCGCGGUAAAACGUAGGUCACAAGCGUUGUCCGGAAUUACUGGGUGUAAAGGGAGCGCAGGCGGGAAGACAAGUUGGAAGUGAAAUCCAUGGGCUCAACCCAUGAACUGCUUUCAAAACUGUUUUUCUUGAGUAGUGCAGAGGUAGGCGGAAUUCCCGGUGUAGCGGUGGAAUGCGUAGAUAUCGGGAGGAACACCAGUGGCGAAGGCGGCCUACUGGGCACCAACUGACGCUGAGGCUCGAAAGUGUGGGUAGCAAACAGGAUUAGAUACCCUGGUAGUCCACACUGUAAACGAUGAUUACUAGGUGUUGGAGGAUUGACCCCUUCAGUGCCGCAGUUAACACAAUAAGUAAUCCACCUGGGGAGUACGACCGCAAGGUUGAAACUCAAAGGAAUUGACGGGGGCCCGCACAAGCAGUGGAGUAUGUGGUUUAAUUCGACGCAACGCGAAGAACCUUACCAAGUCUUGACAUCCUGCGACGCACAUAGAAAUAUGUGUUUCCUUCGGGACGCAGAGACAAGUGGUGCAUGGUUGUCGUCAGCUCGUGUCGUGAGAUGUUGGGUUAAGUCCCGCAACGAGCGCAACCCUUAUGGUCAGUUACUACGCAAGAGGACUCUGGCCAGACUGCCGUUGACAAAACGGAGGAAGGUGGGGAUGACGUCAAAUCAUCAUGCCCUUUAUGACUUGGGCUACACACGUACUACAAUGGCGUUAAACAAAGAGAAGCAAGACCGCGAGGUGGAGCAAAACUCAGAAACAACGUCCCAGUUCGGACUGCAGGCUGCAACUCGCCUGCACGAAGUCGGAAUUGCUAGUAAUCGCAGAUCAGCAUGCUGCGGUGAAUACGUUCCCGGGCCUUGUACACACCGCCCGUCACACCAUGAGAGCCGGGGGGACCCGAAGUCGGUAGUCUAACCGCAAGGAGGACGCCGCCGAAGGUAAAACUGGUGAUUGGGGUGAAGUCGUAACAAGGUAGCCGUAGGAGAACCUGCGGCUG
rnacentral:rRNA from 1 species